UCCGGUUCAUCACCGGCAGUCUCCUUAGAGUCCCCAACUUAAUGAUGGCAACUAAGGACAAGGGUUGCGCUCGUUACGGGACUUAACCCAACAUCUCACAACACGAGCUGACGACAGCCAUGCAGCACCUGUCUCUGCGUUCCUUGCGGCACUCCCUAAUCUCUCAGGGAUUCGCAGGAUGUCAAGGGUAGGUAAGGUUCUUCGCGUUGCAUCGAAUUAAACCACAUGCUCCACCGCUUGUGCGGGCCCCCGUCAAUUCCUUUGAGUUUCAACCUUGCGGCCGUACUUCCCAGGCGGAGAACUUAUCGCGUUAGCUUCGAUACUGCAUAGUUCCCCACGCAACAUCUAGUUCUCAUCGUUUACAGCGUGGACUAC
rnacentral:misc_RNA from 1 species